AAAAAAAAAAAACUGGACCCUGGUAGAUCAUUUAAAUGGAAGAUGCGGAGGAAGGAGACAGCAAGACUCCACUCUCCCCCUCCAUAUUGGUAGUCAGGACGAAUCUGGGUUACAUAACCCAUUUCUCUUCACUCUUCCCCCUCUAGGUGUUCACCGUGGGACGCUUACACCCCAAGCGCUGCUCCAGCUUCUGCUCCACGAUCUAACAGGAGUAUAUUGUAGACCCUGCCUACAAGAGGAGAGUCAGGCAGCAGACACAACAGGCAACACAUAUGCACCAACACAAGGAAGAACUCGGAAGGGUCUGCAGAUGUACCUGACAGGAAGCAUGUGUCCACCAGCUUAUUUUCCUGCUGUGAACUGGACACACAUCACUACACGUACCUCUGUGUGGAAACGCAUCAAAGGCUUCCUGGCCCUGAGGCUGGCCCUAUUACAAAGGGCGCUACUCAUUUUGUUCUCCGGAUAGCUCUGUAUCUACUGGGCACAUGAUGCUCUUCGUCAGCAUGAUGUCAGCAUGAUGACAUGAUGUCAGCCAGUCCUGUUGCUUCUGCCUGAG
rnacentral:lncRNA from 1 species